rnacentral:tRNA from 1 species
AAUAAGGUGUCAGAAAAAUGAAUUACUUUGAUAGAGUAAAAAAUGUAAGAAAAUCUUACCCAUAUUA